UACAGAGGUCCCAAGCGUUGUUCGGAUUCACUGGGCGUAAAGGGUGCGUAGGUGGUUGGGUAAGUUUGAUGUGAAAUCUCCGGGCUUAACCUGGGAACUGCGCUUGUAACUGGCAAGCUAGAGUGUGGCAGAGGGGGGUGGAAUUCCACGUGUAGCAGUGAAAUGCGUAGAGAUGUGGAGGAACACCGAUGGCGAAGGCAGCCCCCUGGGCUAACACUGACGCUCAUGCACGAAAGCGUGGGGAGCAAACAGG
rnacentral:rRNA from 1 species